rnacentral:rRNA from 1 species
AGCGGGAAAACUCACCAGGUCAGGACACGGUAAGGAUUGACGGACUGAAGGCUCUUUUCUCGAUUCCGUGGAAAGUGGUGCAUGGCCGUUUUUGGUUGGUGGAUCGAUCCGUCUGGUUAAUUCCGUUAACGAACGAGACCUCGGCACUCCGAAUAGCGCGGCGGACGUCGCGGCCUCCGGGCCGUCUUCCGCACGAGCUUCUUAGAGGGACCGUCCCCCGCCGGGGGAAGGAGGUGCGAGGCAACGACAGGUCUGUGAUGCCCUUAGAUGUUCUGGGCCGCACGCGCAUUACACUGACGCGUCCAACGGGUGACUCCCGACCCGAAGGGGACCGGGGAAUCCGCAAGGCGCGUCGUGAUGGGGAUUGAACGUUGCAAUUGUUGUUCACGAACGAGGAAUUCCUAGUAGGCGCGGGUCAAUCAACCCGCGCCGAUUACGUCCCUGCCCUUU